AUGAAAUGCAAAUCAACAAGCAUCCCAACAUGGCUCGUGUGCCGCACAAGAUCGAGCUCAAGAGUACCUGACGACCUUGACUCGAUUCGGCUGUCCCUUGGCCUACCCUCUGAACAAUCCCCUGUUGUGCUCCUCUCGUCCCCGAGAGCAACCUCCACCCCUGCUCCUCACGUGGCGGCGAUGGAGGUCGCCUCCCCGAGCCAGGGCCUACUUCAGCACGUCGAUUCCAUCCUUUUCCCCGCACCCAGCUAUAUAAUCACUAGCCUGAAUCCAAAACCGCAGUUCAUGCCCAAUCCAUCAUUCUAUUUAAUCACUAGCACUACAGUAUGCACGAUGAAGAGGAUAUUCAACCAAAUCUACAUCACCCCAAACUAA
rnacentral:rRNA from 1 species